CCAUCCAGCAUACCACAUUUUAUUGAGUUGUCAUUUCUGAUUUCCAUGGUGUAAAAACUGCUGCCAUGGCCUACUUCAAGAUCCCAAGAGGUAUAAAUUACCUGGCAAAAUUCUGGAAUAUGUAACAAUCAGCUUCCCCAGUCUGAAACACCUGAAUGAAACCAGUUUAGCUUGGCGACUGUCAUGAGCCAAAACCUUGGGAAAUUUCACCUAUUCUAUCUGCAUUCAGGACAUCAGGAAAGGCUUAGGCGUAAACAGAUCCUUGACUAAGUAUGACUAGUAUUACCACCCAUAUAAUAUUGAGUCAUCCAAAUAAAAUAUGAAUUCACAUUCCUCUUGCCACUGCUGUUUCAAGGAAAUCAGAGGAUACUUUAGGAGACAAAGCUGUGGUCCCCAACACCCGGGCCCGUGUACCGGCACCAGUCCACGAAGUCUGCAGCCUGCCAGGAACCAGGUUGCACAGCAGGAGGCCAGCAGCAGGUGAGUCAAGCCCCACCUGUGCCCACACCAACUCCCCAUCUCACUCGCAUCACCACCAGAACCCAGCCCCCGCAUCAGAUCAGCGCGGGCAUCAGACCCUCAUAGG